AACGAACGCUGGCGGCGUGGAUAAGACAUGCAAGUCGAGCGCUAAUUUAAGGGUAGCAAUAUUCUUAAGUUGGAGCGGCGCAAGGGUGCGUAACACGUGGGUAAUUUGCCGUGAAGUUGGGGAUAACUUGCUGAAAGGCGAGCUAAUACCGAAUGUGACGUUUGGAAGGCAUCUUCCGAAUUUCAAAGCUGGGGACCGCAAGGCCUGGCGCUUCACGAUAAGCCCGCGGCCUANCAGCUAGUUGGUGAGGUAAUGGCUCACCAAGGCUAAGACGGGUAGCUGGUCUGAGAGGACGACCAGCCACACUGGAACUGAGACACGGUCCAGACACCUACGGGUGCAGCAGUCGAGAAUUUUUCUCAAUGGGGAAACCCUGAAGGAGCGACGCCGCGUGGAGGAUGAAGGUCUUUCGGGUUGUAAACUCCUGUCAUUUGGGUAACAAGGUGCNUUGAUUAACUGUCGAUGCAUUGAUAGUACCAGAAGAGGAAGAGACGGCUAACU
rnacentral:rRNA from 1 species